rnacentral:rRNA from 1 species
GGAUUAGGCAUGCGAGUCAAACGAAGAUAUAUCCUUCGGGAUGUAACCCGAGUGGCACAAGGGUGAGCAAUGCAUAUAUUACCUACCUUUAAGAUAAGGGCCACUUUGUGAAAACGGAUCUUAUACUUAGUUAUACAAAAGAAAAUAAUUUUCUUUUGUCAAAGGGAGGGUAGCAAUACCUUUCGCCUAAAGAGGGGUUUAUGUCCUAUCAGCUUGUUGGUGGGGUAAUAGCCCACCAAGGCGAAGACGGGUAGCCGGUUUAAGAGGAUGGUCGGCCACACUGGGACUGAGACGCUGCCCAGACUUCUACGGAAGGCUGCAGUCGAGAAUCUUUCGCAAUGCCCGAAAGG